GCAUGUGGGAAAGCUCAGUCGGUAGAGCAUGAGACUCUUAAUCUCAGGUCAUGUGUUUGAGCCACACUUUGGGCA